UACAGAGACUGCAAGCGUUAUUCGGAUUCACUGGGCGUAAAGGGUGCGCAGGCGGCCAAGUGUGUGAGGCGUGAAAGCCCGGGGCUUAACCCCGGAAUUGCACCUCAAACUACAUGGCUAGAGCAUUGGAGAGGGUAGCAGAAUUCAUGGUGUAGCAGUGAAAUGCGUAGAUAUCAUGAGGAAUACCGAUGGCGAAGGCAGCCAUCUGGCCUAACACUGACGCUGAGGUGCGAAAGCAUGGGGAGCAAACAGG
rnacentral:rRNA from 1 species